AUGAACACGUUCACUCAUUUGAAACAGCACUCUGGGUCAGUAGAACCUGAAUUGGUUUUCUCAGAAGUGAAAACCAAAAGUAUCAAGUAUAAUUUCCUUAGGAACUCUGCUUUAUUUGCAUAUGCAAGACUACGCAGAUGCAUUUUUUUUCAGCUGUCUCUGUACGUCACAAAUGCUGACGUUGAGUUUCUCAAAUUAUGGAGAAUUGUUUUUAACUUUGUUUUAUUGUAUCUUCAAAACAAGUAAAAUCCCAAUGCUUGCAAAAUUGAUAAUGUGUAGAUACUAAUUUGUAAACAGAGGUAGAUCAUGUUGCAAAUUCAUCUCAGUUCACCUGAGUGUUAAAUUGUCAGGACAGCAAACUGCUUCUCACUCCAGUUCUAGAUUGACUCUCGAAUAAGAUUUAGAAAGGGGUUGGGUGCUCAGGGAUGGAUGGAGUGGUCUGGCAAUUCUCUUGGCUCCUUGGGAACAGCUCUGCUUCUGAGCAGGCCUUUCUCUCCCGGUGCCCUGUCUCUCAUGUUGCACUAGUUGGGAUUGCAUUUCCUCCCUGAUGGUGCCCUCUCAAGCAAUUAAAGGCGAAACUGACUAAUAGUAAAUGAAACAAUUGAUAUAAGUUUUCAUCCCUCUACAGAGAUGAUUUCAAGAUAUCUCUGCUUUGAUAUAAAAAGAAGCAUUUAGGGCAAAAUAAAUUUCUCAAGUUUUAGUUCUGUUCAUUUUUGAAAAUAAACAAUUUAUUACUGAACCAGCAAAGAAAAAGUUUUCUUCCCUUACCACUACCACGAUAGCUAAAUUUCCACAAUCUCUCAAAAUGGCUAUUACUUUAGUUUGCCCAGAGUCUUUACAAUUCUCUCGCUAUUCAUGCACCUAACCCCAACCCUAAUCCUUUAUCCACACAGAUGUUGAGUGUUUUGUUUUUUUUUUUUUUAAUAAGCAGGUAUAAUCAACUUUCAAUCCUACUUAACUAUUGCAACCUUUUCUUUUUAUCGCUCAUUUAAAAUCCUUGACAUGGCCUCCAAGACUUGUUCAGAACCCUGCUGGCUUCCCUGUUCUAAUUUUCCCAGCACCCUCCUCACUCAUCAUGCUGCAGAGACACUGGCCGUUCUUUUGUUGCUGAAAUGUGCAUCCCUGUUUCCUUUCUCAGGCUUGGGACCUUAGCAAACGUGAGAGCUAAGAAAGCCACUUCCCUCAUCUAAUUCUUGCUCUAACUUUUGAAUCCCAAACAUCCUCUCAUUAAAGAGUCUUCCUCGAAUCCUAAGCUGGAUCCCUUUUGCAAUAUUGGAAUUGUCUUUUGCUCAGUUUUCCAUUUUCCAGCAUUGCAGAGACAAAUUCUGACCUCUGCUUAAUCCCCUUUUGGAUAGAGUGGACAUAAAAUUUAUUGGUCACACUGGAAAAGUUUUGAGAUUUAAAGAAGGAAGUAAAUGAACAAGAUGCUAGCACACUAAUGUGAUCCAGCACUGGGUUCAGCAAACCAGGGGCAUACGGUCAACCCCUCUGUGGAGGAAAAGUUAUCAUUUUGUCUUGAGGUUGUCCAACAUGACCUAAAGGGACAAGAUGCAGGUAGCUGAUGAGCUUGGAAAGCUGAUGGCUAUUCACAUGACGUGUUAUACAAACAGAGUUAAAGUGUGAACAGUUUUUAGUGUUUUUCCCUGUUGUAAACAACUGUGAUAAAACAUUUCCCUAAACAGCUCAAAGUAACAUCACAACAGUAUGCAAUGAAUGUAUCAGGUUAUAAAGAGCUGGACUAUAGCCCAAAUCAAGGCCACCAAUUAAGCGAUAUCUGGGCUUCAUUCUGCACAAGCCAGGGCUGUAAUUUCUCAGUCUUGCUGCCAACUUCUCUCUGGUUAGAAGCACAUUCCUAUCCAUCAGCUUACCAAUCAAGGGCUGCAGCCACUGACUUUAACUCUUCUACCUGAGUGCACUGGUGAUGGACAUAAGGACAGUGGAAGAGAGGUGGCCAUUUAGCUCUUCUCACAGCUUUGCAAAGUCCUCUUUGAAAAUAUUUUAGGGUGAGACAUGAAUACUAUUUUAGUGUGAGGAGGGGCAAUAGACUCUUCCCUUCAGAAACUCAUCUUCAAAUGAACUCUCCACAGAAAAGAUAAAGAAGAAAAAGCUGGGAGGCCAGUUGUGGUGGCUCAUGCCUGUAAUACCAGUGUUUUGAGAGGCCAAGAGGAGAGGAUCACUUUAGGCUAGGAGUUUGAGACCAGCCAGGGCAACAUAGUGAGACCCUCAUCUCUCUCUGUAUAUAUAUUUUUAAGUCAACUGGAUGUAGUAGUACAUGCCUAUAGUCCCCGCUACUCAGCAAGCUAAGAUGGAAGAAUUGCUUGAGCUCAGGAGUUUGAGGUUACAGAGAGCUAUGAUUGGAUCCCUCCAGUCUGGGUGAGACAGUGAGACCCUGUCUCAGAAAAAAAAAAGAAAGAAAAGAAAAGAAAAAAACAGCAUGGGUAUUUUGAUUUUUGAAAUGAAUCACCUUUUUUGACAUGUUCAAUACUCUGGGUAAGUUCAUCUGUUUUUGUGAGGAUGUGUGUGUGUGUCUGUGUGUGUGUGACACAGGAGUUAUUGGGUGUGCAAGGUAACUUAUUUUUCAUUAUUUGAAGAUUGAAGGGAAAGAGUGAGUGGGAUUUAAUCAGACAAUCAGACAAUGACAAAUGGAUAGGCAAAGAUCAAAGACAUGGGGAAACCUCACAGCCUAGAAUAUUUCCAGGGUGCUCACUUGGCCCAAAUUAGAGAAAGCCUUUGAAGGAGGAAAUCAUUCCGGAAGGCCUAGAUCAGUAUGCUGCUUUAAGAUGAUCCAAAUUUUUAAGUGGAAGAAAUGUGGAUCAUUUUUAAAAGGUAGGCUGGUAUAUUUCUGUUUUGGAUAAUCAAGUUAGCAAGGUGGUGGAUGGCUACACCGAAUGAAGCAAGCUGGUUAAGAGACCUUCACAUUAACUGACACAAUGGCCAUGAGAAUGUAAAUAAAGAGAGAGGCUCCCAAGGCAUUUGGAAAGCAUAACUGACAGUUUUAACCAUCUGAGAACAGAAGUUUAUGGAAUAUCAUUCUGAUUUGGGGCUUAAGUGACUGAAGCACCAUUUACUAAUGCAGUGAUCACAAGAGAAACAAAAGGGGUACAAAAUUAGGGAAGGAGAAAAUAAUGAGUUUGUUUUCAGAUUUUUUAAGUUUUAGAUUUUUCAAGUUUAGCAAAACACUCAGUAGACUGGGCUCAGCACUUUUACACACAUUACUCUCAUUUUAUAAUUGAGGACAUUAAGAGAUCCUGUGUACAUUAUCUUAAGGCCUUACAGCUACUAUGUGGUAAGGAAAGGAUUUUACUUCAAUUCCCUGACUUGAAGCUCCAUCCCUGCUACAGAACUGGCUGGACAGCUCUUGAAAUUAUACCUGUGUACCACAGUUUCUUUAUCUGGAAAAUAAUGGAGGUAUCUCUCCUUUUGAUUACCUGAGAUAUGUAUUAGAAAGUUAAGAUUUAGUAAAUAACGCAAAAAAUCUAUAAAGUGAAUAUACUAGCUGGCCUUGAUGUAAGAUCCUUUCAAAAGCUAAUCAUUGAUGGGAAAUAUCUUGUCAAAAAACAAAAUGGAAAUGGUUGUGUGGCACUGCCCUACCAUUCCACAUAGAUUCCACUUAAUUAGGGGACCAAAAACCAUGUCCAUGUCUACAUUGGUAGAGGACAGUGGAUAUGGAGCAUGAAAAGGACCAGAUGGCUCUUAAAGUUGAAUCGGUUACCUAGCAAGACAUUGACUCUGAAUAUUUUCAUUUCUCUCUGUUUCAGACUGGCCUCUAAUGUUCUUUUAAUGCAGAUUUUUAUUUGUGCAUUUCAUGGGUUGUUAUGUGAAUCUGUUGCUGCUGAGUAUGUUGAAUCUUAAGCCUUUGGUGAAAAUUAGCAUGAUUCUUUGUAGUUAUGAAUAACAAAUAUAUUCCUUUUGAUAGAAAGGACAAUUAAAAUGUUUUAUG
ensembl:lncRNA